AACGCAAAUUGCGCUCUCGGGAUAGGCCUGGGAGCACGCCUCUUUGAGUAUCGUUUCAACCACAACUCGAAAGCGUGCUUAAUUGCAUCGCUGACGGAGAAUGAGCGCUCUUGUGAAUAGCGAGACGCUUUAAAGUGAGCGAGUGACUUGAUUUCUGUCGAAAGAUAGACUCUUGUCUGCGGUGACGAGGAUAACUUCACAUUCACUUGUGAACCCUUCCAUCGUGACUGUUCGAUUGAGAGCUGUCUGCGGCGGUUGUCGCGCUGUCACGGCCCUUCUGUGAUUCAUCCGCCGCGAUGAACAUAGAACUCAAUUUUGAACUAGAUCUCAAAUGAAGCGAGAAAACCCGCUGAACUUAA
rnacentral:misc_RNA from 1 species